rnacentral:misc_RNA from 1 species
GAAAUGCGAUACGUAAUGUGAAUUGCAGGAAUCUGUGAAUCAUCAAAAUUUUGAACGCAAGUUGCAGCUCUGUUGAGGAGCUAUAUCUAUUUCAGUGUUGGUAAAAACAAAAAUCACAAAAAAUUUUUUUGUGGAAAUGAAUGUAUAAGUUAAUUUAUACUUAUUCAUUUAAAUAUUAUUGAUAAGUUUAUUUUUACUGUUAGUUUUAACUAAUAAAAAAGUUAAACUUUCAUAAUCAAGCAAUAUUUUUUAUAAAAAAUCAACCUGAAAUUAGGUAAGAAUACCCGCUGAACUUAA